GACGAACGCUGGCGGCGUGCUUAACACAUGCAAGUCGAACGGUAAGGCCCCAGCUUGCUGGUCUACACGAGUUGCGAACGGGUGAGUAACACGUGGGUGACCUGCCCCGCACUUCGGGAUAACCCUGGGAAACUGUGUCUAAUACCGGAUAGGACCGCACCUUGCGGGUGUUUUGCAUAGUGUUUCGGAUUGGGCUGGGACCGGGGCAUAGUGCCUUGUUGGUGGUGUAAUGGCCUAUCAAGGCGAGGCCGGGUAGCCAGCCUGAGAGGGUGUACGGCCACAUUGGGACUGAGAAACGGGCAAGAGUGAUACGGGAGGAAGGAGUGGAGAAUAGUGCAAAAUGGGCGGAAGCAGGAUGGAGGGACGCCGGGUGGGGGAUGACGGCCUUAAGGUUAGAAACAGCGUUCGCCAUCGAAGAAGGUUUUGUGACGGUAGAUGAAGAAGAAGCACCGGCUAACUACGUG
rnacentral:rRNA from 1 species